CUGCAUUUAAACCCUGCUGGGAGGCUUCUCCAGUGCCAGAUUAUUCCCGCAUCUGAAGUGGUAUCUUGGCCUGUUCUCUGUGCCUCCAUGAGCCCCCAGUGUUUUUCCUUAUUGCUGCUACACUGCCUCACUCUCUACCUGGAUUUAUUCACCAGCCUCCACCUCAAGUCCUCAUGACUUGGACUCUGGAUCCCGUCCCUGCUCCCUUUGUUCCAUUCAAUUAAUUCACUGAGCCGCGUCCUCUGCCUCCAACUGUGCUUUUGGGUCCACACUGUUAAUUCUGUUUUUCUAACCGUCACAAGUUAAAGAAGAAGAAGAGGAGGGAUGUAAAAGUGGUAAAAACUGCCAAAAUAUAGAAGUAAAUAUGUUAGUGCAAGUGUCUCAAGGUAAAGGUGCUGUGUACCUCUAAAUUUGAUAUCACACACUUUUCUGAUGAUAUGGAUUUGCUGUAGAAUAAUCACGGCACACCACGUUAUGUUACAAUUCAAAGCUACAACAUUAAUCUCACUCUCCAUCAGAAAGCUAAAUUAUUCUUUCUGUGUUCAGACAUUUUCUCUCGCUCAUUACUACAACAUAAGUGUCUGUGAGACACCUGAUAUGCUUCUGCUGUUAUGAGAAUAAACGCAGUGUUGGAGCCAAAA